rnacentral:lncRNA from 1 species
AUGACAGAGUCCUGCUUCCCAGAUCCCAAGAGAAGUGAGAGCAAACACAUGGAGCAGCUCAGAAUAUGGAAUGAUGCAGCUCACAGGAGCCUCAGAACUGCCCCACCUCCUGCAGCAGGAUCCAUCCUGUCUGAGAUGCUACCCAAGCCUCUGAGCAGGAAAAUGAAUGAUGUAACUGGGGCAUGGAUGGGCUCAGUUCAGAUGGAGGGGACACACAGAGCCUGGGUCCUUCCAGCUGAAUCCCCUCUCUCAUGAUGGAAACUGGGAGGAAUAGAAGGAAAGAAAAAGCCAACAGUGAAAUAUCCCUUGAAAUAUUCUCCCAGCUGACAGCAAUUGCUGCCUCAGGGAUUUCUCAGCUCAGAGAUUAUAUAAAUGUUUCCAACAGCCCUUGAUGGACUUACCUGUCACUGAGGCCCUCAGUUGCUGUUCUAACCCCUACAGACUUCUGGCAGGUGCAAUAUCUCAUGGUGAUGAGCUCCACCACUCAAAAAUGUACCUCAUUUUGUUCAUUUUGAUAAUUGGGUUUGAUGUCGUUUUAUGAGAAACAGAGAACAGUCAUCCACUAUUCAUCUUGUCCCCAGCACUCCUGGUUUUAUAGAGCUCCAUUGUGUUCUUCCUCAGUCAUCUCUGUGUUCCAGGAAAGCGCCCCUUGAUUUAAUUAUCCUUUAGAUGGAAACUAUCCUGUAUCCAUUCUAGGUCCCUUCUGUCUUUCUAGAGCUGGACUAAUCAAAAGCAAACAGUAGUCAAAUUAAAAGUGCAUCAUCAACGUAUUCAGAGCUGCAAAGGUAUUUUCAAAGUCAUUCUCCAUCUCUUCCAUUCUCUGUCCCCAAAUUCCCUGAUGUAUUUUUCACCUCUGACUGCUAUCAAAUACUGAUCCAGUGUUUUCAUGUUGUAUCUCCUUUUGGUUUUUCCUUCUGCCUUUCCCUUUCGCCCUUCCCUGUCCUGUCUCAGAUAUGUAUCACAUACAUAUACUUAUAUAUAUUUAUAAAUAUAUAUUUAUAUAUUUAAAUUUUUAUAUAAAAAU